CCCAGUCCAAAACCCAUUUGGGCCCACUAUCUAAGCCCAUUAUCCAAAACUCAUUAAAACCAUUAACCCAUAAACUCAUAUACAUAAACCUAUAUACAUUUACCCAUGAACCCAUACACAUUUAACCCAUAUCCAAGCCCAUAACCUUAACCAAGUCCGUGAACUUUGAACCAAAACCAUGGACCAAACCAUACACCAAAUCCUGUGGACCAUACCAUACACCAAAUCCACAAACUAUGAAUCAAGUUCAUGAAUCAAAUCAAGUUCAUAAGUCCAUGAACCAUAAACCCAUGAGCCAUAAGUCCAUGAACCAUAAGUCCAUGAACCAUAAACCCAUGAACCAUAUCUAAGUUCAUGAACCAUAAUCCCAUAUACCCAAUACCAUAAACCUUGUGAACCAAACCCAAACCUAAAUUUGAUAUCGACCGAAACGUCGUUAAACUAAUCCACCAAAUCAACCGACCGAAACGUCGUUAAACUAAACCUAAAUCCGAUAUCGACCGAAANUAUAUGAAUCUGAAUUUGGACCUUUCAUACGGGCCCAUAUUGAACCCAAAUCCACAUCAAAAUAAAUCCGAGCCCAAUCCAGAUUGAGCCCAAAUCAAACCCACGGCCCAAAGCCCAAUCCAGAUUGAGCCCAAUUCAAAUCCACGGCCCAAAGCCCAAUCCCAUUGGGCCCAAUUCCAGUCCAAGGCCCAAGCCCAAGUACAAACCUCAAACCCAAAAUAUGCCCAAAUACCAUUCAAAUCCAAAACUCAAAACAAUAUCCAAUCCAAAUCCCAAAUUUCAUAUUCAAAUCAACCCAAAUCCCAUCUUUAAAUCAACCCAAAAUCCAAAUUCUCAUAAGCCCAAAAUGAGCCCAAAAUCCACAUAUGAACUGAGCCCAUUUUGAGCCCAAAAUCCACAUAUGAAUUGAGCCCAAAUCCUAUACCGGAUCCAAAUCCAAAAUAAAUCAAACCCAAAUUGAACCUAUUUAUCCAUAUCAAAUCCAAAUUGAGCCAGCUUUGAGCCCAAUUACCAUAUCAAAUCCAGACUGAGCCCACUUUGAGCCCAAUUCUCAUAUAAAACCCAAAUUUCCAUAUCAAAUCCAAAUUGAGCUCAUUUUAAGCUCAAUUUCCAUAUGAAACUCAAAUUCCCAUUUUGAGCCCAUUUUAAGCUCAAUUCCUAAGUCCAAAUCCAAAAUGAACCCAUAUUGAGCCCGAGUCUAAAUUCAAAAUGAUUUGGCCCAUUUUGAACCCAAAUCCAAAUUAAGCCCAUUUUGAGCCCAAAUCGAAAUCCCCAUAUCAAAUCCAAAUUAAGCUCCAAAUCUAAAUUGAGCCCAUAUUACAUCCAAGUCCAAAUCCUCAUGAAGUCCAGAGCCCAUUUACAAAUGGCCCCAGUCCGGAACCCAUUUGGGCCCACUACCUAAACCCAUUAUCUAAAACUCAUUAAAACCAUUAACCCAUAAACCCAUAUACAUAAACCUAUAUACAUUUACCCAUGAACCCAUACACAUUUAACCCAUACACCAAACCCAUGAACCAUAAGUCCAUGGAUCAUAAACCACAAACCAUACACCAAAUUCAUGAACCAUAAACUCAUGAACCAUAAGUCCAUAAACCAUAAACUCAUAAACCAUAAACCCAUGAACCAUAAACCCAUGAACCAUAAGUUCAUGAACCAUAAACCCAUGAACCAUAUCUAAGUUCAUGAACCAUAAUCCCAUAUACCCAAUACCAUAAACCUUGUGAACCAAAAUAAAUCAAUCGACCGAAACGUCGUUAAACUAAUCCACCAAAUCAACCGACCGAAACGUCGUUAAACUAAUCCACCAAAUCAAACGACCGAAACGUCGCUAAACUACAAAGGACAUGCGACUAGCCCUAGCACAUAUAUACUUAGAGUUCAUCCGACUAGCCCUAGCACAUAUACCUAGGGUCUAGUCAGCCUUUUGCUCUAGCACAUAUACCUAGAGUGAAAUCCUUACCCGAUCGAGCUCUAAUACAUAUACUUAGAGUUCAUAUGAAUCAAAUCCGACUACCCCUAAUAUAUAUACUUAGGGCUUAGUCAGAUCUUCACUCUAGCACAUAUAACUAGAGUGAAAACAUAUUAAACUCGGUUAAUCCUGAUACAUAUACUCA
rnacentral:lncRNA from 1 species